rnacentral:rRNA from 1 species
CCCCAGUAACGGCGAGCGAAGCGGGAACAGCUCGAGCAGGCAAUCUCUGGUGUCGAUCGCCAGCGAAUUGUGGCCGGUAGAGGCGGGUGCACCUGACGCGACUUCGUCGAAGUUGACCUGGAAAGGCACGUCGGAGAGGGUGAUAGCCCCGUGCGUGGCGGAGUCGCCGAGGGCCGCUACCGUCUUCUGAGAGUCGGGUUGUUUGGGAGUGCAGCCCAAAGUGGGUGGUAAACUCCAUCUAAAGCCAAAUAGCGGCACGAGACCGAUAGCGAACAAGUACCAUGAGGGAAAGGUGAAAAGCACUUUGGAAAGAGAGUUAAAGAGGCCGCGAAACCGUUGGGAGGGAAACGCAUGCAGCCGGACCGGCCCGCGUCGAGUUCACGGGGCUGCCGUCAGUCGCGUCCGUCGUCGGCACCGAAAGGGUCGACGGUGGGCCCGGGCUCUCGGCACCCCUGCACUCUCGGCGCUUCGGGCCGGCCAAGCGCGGCGGGAUCCGGGCGACGAGCUCGGUCGGGCAGGUAGCGCAGCCGCCUGGCGGAGGCGAACUUAUAGCCGGCCGAGCGGAGCGUCCGGGACCCGCCGAGGAGAGCGGUGGCACUUCCACCCAAGCAGCGCAGGCCGCUCGUCGGCAGGGGCUCUCUGGCUCGUUGGCGAGCCGCUCCGCGUCACUGCGUGCAGUGGCCGGGGACGGUCCGCCUCCGGGUCGGGGGUAGCUCACUCCUUGCGCUCGGGCCGCUUGGCCUGACGUCGGCUGCAUCCGACCCGUCUUGAAACACGGACCAAGGAGUGCAACAGUUGUGCGAGUAUUC